rnacentral:rRNA from 1 species
UACGUAGGGGGCGAGCGUUGUCCGGAUUUAUUGGGCGUAAAGAGUGUGUAGGCGGCCAGGUAGGUCUGCUGUGAAAACUCGAGGCUCAACCUCGAGACGUCGGCGGAAACCAUCUGGCUAGAGUCCGGAAGAGGAGAGUGGAAUUCCUGGUGUAGCGGUGAAAUGCGCAGAUAUCAGGAAGAACACCAAUGGCGAAGGCAGCUCUCUGGGACGGUACUGACGCUGAGACGCGAAAGCGUGGGGAGCGAACAGG